AAAGGGGUCACGGCAAAGGAUUAGUAUCAAUUAGAGGUGCGACCCGGCGGUCUUUCCGCACGGCGUGUAGGGAAGGUGCUUGAGAGGCCGCGGCUUUGCGGACCCUGUGCUCAAGGAGUAGAGGCGGGUGGCAGAAAGCAGGGUAAUGCACAUGUUCCUCGAGCCCCGGACUGGGGGUCGCAGACCCAGAUUCUGCGCGCCGUUGCUUGCUGUGGAAGGAGCGAAUAACUUGGUGUCUCACAGCCUCCCAACACAGUGCUUGCUGCUAAGUCAGCCUGGACUUCGCGGCCUCGCCGGGCCCCUACCUCUGGGGGAGGACUGAGACCCAGGAGAUGGAAGUGUUCCCCCGCUCCCCCCGCUGACCGCGGAAGCACGGCCACCAGGGGCCGCUACAGGACAAGGGGCAGAGACUCUCCCCAGCGCACAGACUGAAGUCUGGACUCAGACUUGUUCUGAGAGGAGGGCACAGGAAACUUUAUUUUGGUGAUGAAAUCGCCAGUCCUCGCACAGUUAAUUUUCAUUCGUGCAAACUUCACUGCCCACACCCCACACGGACUCGCUUGCCCAGGCUUCUAGGGCCCGCGGUCAUCUGGGAGAAGGCUCUCGGCGCCCUUGCUGCGGUGCUUCUUGGAGCCAGAUAUGCUAUGCUGCCGUCCCUGCGAUGCUGGGUCAAAAGCGUAGCCAGCCCAGCGACCCGUCUUUCAUUCUUCUAUUGUAUUGUUGGGUGAAGCCGAAGAAGGUACCGACACUGUCAGGAGGUGGAGGAAGGGGAUCUACAGGGAGAAGUCGAGGCCCGGGAUGGCCUCGAAGAGGAGGAGUAGAGGAAUGUGGAGCGAAUGGUCCAUCCAGGUGGGAGCUGGCUGGACGAGUGGCCGCGCAUGUGCGCCUGCAUGGAGGCUAGGCUGGAGCAGCCGGCCCCGCACAGAGGGCAGCGGUAGGGUGCGACCCCAUGCGUCCGCAGGUGUUUGGUCAUGGCUGAGAAGUCCCGGGAGCGCUGGGGACAUAGGCUACAGGAGAAGGGCUUCUCUCCUAGGAGACAUCACAUGGAAAUAAUAUUUCAUGGAGGUCAAACAACCUAUCUGAGAUUCAGAAACUCCCUCCUCAAGAACCUCCAGAAGACCAUGGGCCUAACCUCCUGGCCAGGUUGUCUAACCUGGAUCUGAUACUGGAAAACCUGCCAACAGCACCUCAACCUGGAAUCCAGCAACCCCCUCCCCCCCAAAGUCUUGCAGCCACAUAUUCUCAGCACAGCCUGGAUGCAAUAGCCCUUGACAACUUCCCAUCGGGUUUCAACCCUGGCAGCACUCACUCUCAGCCCAGGCUGGAUCCAAAGACUCCAGAAAACCUCUCAAGUGCACAUUAGUUUCAUCUUUUGGCCAGUAACUCCCAACAACCUCUGGAGAGUCACAGGUCUCUCCUUCCAAUUCACCGGAUCCAGACUCAGUCCAGAGACCUCAGACAACCUCUCACAGUUCAGAGGCCAUACCUCAUGGCCAGUGACACCACACAGAGCUUCAAGGGCCUUCAAUUGCCACACAAUACACGUCCAAAUCAAGUUAGCCUCAGGGACAUGGACCAACUCAUAGGGCAUGUUGGCCUAGCCUCUGCCCAACCUGGGACCAAAGGUGCCCAGGAGGUCCCGUUUCCAGCCUUGCCGGGGCAAAGGGAACCUUGAGGGACUAAAGUCCUCAGCUCUCAAUUCUCGACAUUUACAGUGACCAUUCAAGCUCCCCCACCCCAGCUUUGCCUGAGUCAGCUCAGGCCUGCAGAAGUGUAAGAAAAACCAUGGCACUCACCGACUCAGACCCUGCUCCUCUUCCCACGGCCUCACAUACGCUGAGGGCUGUGCAAGAUCGAGUGUCGGUUAGAAAGUGGGGAGCGGCGCGAGGUCAGGAGCUCGAAGCCAGGGCGCAUGCACAGCUCGCUUAUCUCCCUGGAUUUUGAGGCGGACCCUGAUUGGCUGCAGCAUGGGCCGCAUCUACUGAGCACGCUCAACACCCUCGGAGGCACCUAGGACAGCUCCACUUGCUCCCCUCCCAGCCUCGCACCCACCACUGAUUGGCUGUGGAAUUUCUCUUCCCUCCCACCCUCUCUGUGAAAAGACUGGGCCCUGAAACUCUUUCGCCAAUGGCUUUGGAAUCGCCCUCUGCAAGGGCUCAGGAUACCACCAAUUCUUUGCUCCUGUCUUGCCAACCUGAGUGGCUCUCAUUGCAAACCCUUGCACCUCUCCCUCAACCCCUGACAGUCUAUGAAAUGUAUGUCUGUGAUUGGUUGGGAGGCCCUCAAGAGCCAGCCCGGCUUCAGGUGCCUGUAGGCAGCUCCCUUAUCCCACUUUUCGCCCAGAUUCACUCCUGAUUGGCUGCAGAACGCAAUGCCUCACCUGGAAGUGUGCGGGGACAGAGGAGGAACCUGAGGGGCAGUGCUUUGACCCGUGAUUGGUCUAGAUGCUCGCACUUUAAAUGCUCAUUGCCGGUCAGCUGAGCCAGGGUUAACUGCGCACUUCACGUACGAGCCCCCCUGCCCCCCUGCCAACACACCAGACAGAAUGGUCCAUUGCUUUGCCCCGCCAUUAAACUGGUCAGGGCUAAGAGCCCAGCCAGAUAGCUUUCUA